GAAUCUUGCGCAAUGGGCGAAAGCCUGACGCAGCGACGCCGCGUGCGGGAAGAAGGCCUUAGGGUUGUAAACCGCUUUCAGGAGGGACGAAGCCACUCGGGUGAAUAGCCCAGAGGGUGACGGUACCUCCAGAAGAAGCCCCGGCUAACUACGUGCCAGCAGCCGCGGUAAUACGUAGGGGGCAAGCGUUGUCCGGAUUCAUUGGGCGUAAAGAGCGUGUAGGCGGCCAGGUAGGUCGGUUGUGAAAACUGGAGGCUCAACCUUCAGAGGUCGACCGAAACCAUCUGGCUAGAGUCCGGGAGAGGAGAGUGGAAUUCCUGGUGUAGCGGUGAAAUGCGCAGAUAUCAGGAAGAACACCCGUGGCGAAAGCGGCUCUCUGGAACGGUACUGACGCUGAGACGCGAAAGCGUGGGGAGCGAACAG
rnacentral:rRNA from 1 species